CCUCAGGUGUUGUGAGUAACGACGCCUUCUCCCACUGACACUGCAGAAUCCACUACUGCCGAUUAAAACCGGGCUGAGGCAGAAAUUGAUUCCUCAGCCCCAGUUUGCAGCCAAUCCCGCCUUAAUUGAGUUACAGGACGACACAUCAGCAUCCUGCCUCGUGGCGUCACUGAUACAUGAACUCUCCGCGGCUCACAGAAGUUGGAAAUUUUCCUCUCUUGCAGCAAUAAGAGGCAGACGAAGAUUUCUAACCCAGCCAGACAUCAAGAUAAACCUUUCUCAUUACUGCUGAUUGGACACACACAGAGGUAUGAUUUACUGUUAUGAAUCUUGUGUUUGGGGAAGCGAGUUUAAAUGAGUGUAAAAUGUGCACCUUUUUUGUGAGCCCCUCAGCGGCAAGAUUUCUGCUCUUAUUUAAAAUUUCUCUACAUUCAGAAAAUAUGUUUGAUGUGCUGCAAAAAACAUACUCCUGCUGGAGGCACUCUUGAGUCACCAUUAUAGUGAUUUUUUUUUCCAAAAAUCUUAUCCUUCUUUCAUAUUUUGUUGGAGUUGGAGUAUGAAAGAAUAUGUUCUAAAUAUUGAGGGGGAUGUAUCCCUUGUGUCCUCCCUGAAAUCCACACUUGCACCGCUGAUUUCCCACCAUAGUUUGCUAGUAGUGCCACAUUCUUCCGGCAUAUGUUUGCAAUUAAAAAAAAAUCUUUCUGGCAAUAACGGUUUCUAGCAGACAUUUAUAGUUGUAGCAAUGCUGACACAAUUUUAUAUUCCAUGGUUUAAAUAUCCUGUUCCAUAUUAAAAGUAUAACUAUGGCAGGUUUAGGGCAAUUUCAUAUUAUAUGUACUUUUUAUAACAUUUAAAGAUUUCCUUGGUAGUGCGGUGGUUUGCCAUGUUGUAUCACAACAAGAAGGUUGUGGAUUUGAAUGUGACGGCUGGAUGUUCUUCCUGUGCCUUUGUGGGUUUCCUCCUGCUUCCUUCCACAGUCCAAAGACAUGCAUAAUAGAUUAAAUGGUGAUUCUACAUGGGCCAUUGGUAUGAAUGUGAGCAUGAAUGGUUGUCUGUCUAUGUCAAACUGUACUGCUGCAAAGUUUUCCAUGUUUGCCAGAAGUGUACAGAAGUUUAUAUGAAAAUAUGACGUUGCCAAAUGUUAACUGUUUGCCAGAAAAAUAACAUUUUCACGAGAGAGCUAUUAAGCUUUCCAAUUAGAUUGAAGAUUAUUUCCCAAGAUGUUCUUGUGAAGUAGCCUAAAACCACAAGUCUCCGGUAAAAUGCACACAUCCUAACAGCAUUAGUUUGCUGUUGUGAAGAUGACACUGGAAUGAAUAUGUGACGUGUUUGUCUUGAAUCUUUCUUCAGAUUAGCUUUUGUAGUAUAAAUCACACAAAAAGCAACUUUAUUUAAAUUAAUACAAUAUCUUAUUUAGAUGUUUGCUGUAGAGAAACACUGUGUGGGGCAAUACGAGACAGUGAAGUGCCAGUGCUGAAUGUUUUUUUCUAAUGUAAUCACAUAAAGCAAUGUGAUAAAUGUAUGAUUCCUUGGAAAUAACUAUGUGACUGGUUGCCAUUAUCUAUAAUCUUAACUGGUAUAACUACGACAUGCCAAGAAUGCUAAUUGUUGACCUCUUAUAAUACACAACAGUUAGUUAUGGAUUUCCACGUGAUUCCUGUACCAGGAGUGACACUGUUCACCUUGUACAUGCUCCCCUUUGCCAGUUUUUAUAGGAAACAUGUCAUGACUUCCAUUGCUAUGCAGAUGACACCCAGUUCUAUUCAUCUAUGAAACCAGAAGAAGCUACUCAGUCAGACUCCAAGCAAAGCAGAAAAACACUGAGUAGUUACUCUGGAUGCCAUUAUGUUGGCCUCCAAUAAAAUUGUGAGGAAUCUUGGAGUUCUGUUUGACCAGAAUAUGUCCUUUAACACGAAUAAAAUACAAUCUCGGAGGUCGCCUUCUUUCAUCUGUGCAAUACUGUCAAAAUUAGGAGCCUCUUGCUUCAGGGUGACGCUGAAAAACUAGCCAUUUGUUGCUUCUCAGUUGGACUAUUGUAACUCUUUAUGAUCACUAUGCCCCAGCAUCACUUUGAAAAUCAAAGGGAGCGACAGAAUCACCAAUAUUAGCUUCUUUUCAUUGGUUCCUUAUAUAAUCAGGAAUAGAAUUGGAAAUCCUUGUCCAAGCUCCAUUUUAACUUACAGAUGUUAUGCCACUAUAUUACCCCAGUAGAGCUCUUUGCUCUCAGACUGCAGGUUUAAUUGUGGAUCCUACAGUUUCUAAAAGCAAAAUGUUGUGCAGUCUUCAGCUAACAGCUCCUCUGCUGUGGAAUCAGCUCCUAGUUUGAGUUCAGGAGGCACACACCCUCUGUAUUUAUUAGGCUUAGAACUUUCUCUUUUGACAAAGCUAGUUACUGUUGACUCAGGUGACCUGCACCAUUCAUUAGUUAUGCUGCUACAGACACCGACAGCUGGGGGACUUCCCAUGAAGCAUUGAGCGCAUCUCUACUCUCCGUUUGUUCACUUUCCAUUGAUUUUAACAGAUUUUCUGUUUGGUUCUCUCUGUAGGUAUUUCUGGCUCUGGAGCUACACAUUUCUGACCUGCAGUGACUGGCCUCACCAACCCCUCUGCUUUUUAGUCUCCCAUUUUCCUUCAACCCAACCAGUCAGUACAGAUGAACACCCUCCCUGAGCCCAGUUCUGCAGGGAGUCUGUUGAUCCCACUGUGGUCAAAGAGUCACUCAAAGGGAAUCACUGGAUUUGUUGGGUUCCUUUCUAUAACCUAAUGUUAAGUCUUGAUCUUACAGUUUAAAAUACUCUGGCAAGAAUCAAAACUUAUAAACAACUUAAUCAGACUAAAUAACCUACCUGAGAAGUUUGAAUCAAGUUAGUGAAGGGUGUUUUUCCUUGCCACUGUCGCCUUUGGGCUUGCUCUGGGGGUCAGGCAUAUGGGUUCUGUAAAGCGUCUUGAGACGAUUUGACUGUAAUUGACGCUAUAUAAAUAAAAUUGAAUUGAAUUGAAAAAA